AGUGAACGCUGGCGGCGUGCCUAAUACAUGCAAGUCGAACGGAGUGGCGCACGGGUGAGUAAUGUAUAGCUAAUCUGCCCUACACUAGAGGACAACAGGUGGAAACGACUGCUAAUACUCUAUAGUGUAGGAUGAGGCUAUAUUGUAUCAGCUAGUUGGUGGGGUAAUGGCUGUCCAAGGCUAUGACGCAUAACUGGUCUGAGAGGAUGAUCAGUCACCCUGGACCGUAGACACGGUCCAGACUUCUCCGGGAGGCAGCAGAAGGGAAUAUUGCUCAAGGGGGGAAACCCUGAAGCAGCAUCGCCGCGUGGAGGAUGACACUUUUCGGAGCGUAAACUCCUUUUGUUAGGGAAGCGGUACCUAACGAAUAAGCACCGGCUAACUCCGUGCCAGCAGCCGCGGUAAUUC
rnacentral:rRNA from 1 species